rnacentral:tRNA from 1 species
GGGAGAUAGCUCAGUGGUAGAGCACAUGCUUAGCAUGCAUGAGGUCCUGAGUUCAAUCCCCAGUACUUCCA